AUGGUUCUCCCAACCCCACUUCCUCCCAACACAGGUUCGGAAGCCCAGGGCCUGUGGAAGCUCAUGUGGGCAAAGCAUCCGGAACGUGCCUGGCACAGGGUCAGACCUCUCCAGUGGAACACUGCCCACCACUCCGUGGCCCCCCAGGCCCCCAGCCACUGCAGAGGCCGUCUGUGCCCGCACCCUCAAGGUCCUAAGCAGCCCCGCCCCGCAGGCGGGCAGAGCAGAGCACCCCACCUGCGGCUUCCUGUUGGGCUUCCUGGAAAAUGCCAGCUCCACAGCUGGGCUUCAGUGGAAGCUGUGUCUUGGCCCCACCCCAGUGACCAGAGGCCUUACAAGGACCCUGUCCAUGCUCCCGCUGGCACCAGGGACAGGAACUAUGAGAAACCCUCUGCAACAGCAGCCCACAUCCUGCUGGUCCUGAGGUCCGACCCUGUUGGGGAGCCUGAGGUCAGAGAGCUGCCCCGGGGAGGGUUCCAGGGAAAAAAUGUCCUACCGGAGCUGCUGUGGGGAGGCACUCUCCCGGAGGCACUGACCUUGGGGUGUUUAGUUACACUGCGUAAGAUACCCGCCUAACCGCCUCGUGGGGCGCUCUCUUACUUUGAAACAGCUAAACAAUCUGGGGACCAAAACCGUGAAGUCACUCAUACAAGGCUGUCCAGUGAUGGGCCAGGACCGGCAUCUCUGUGGAUGAGCCCUUCCCAUUGGUGUGACCCGGAUGCAGAGAAGACACCGCCCUCCAGAUGCCCCACCACCCCCCUGCCCGACACACACACACACACACACACACACACAUCACAAAUACACCACACCCCCACCACACACACACACACACCACACACACACACACACGCCCCAUCACACCUGCACCACACACACACACACACCACACACACAUCACAAAUACACCACACACACACAAACCCACCCACCACACACACCACACACACAGACACACAUACGGCCCACCACACCCCCACCACACCCACAUACACACAAACGGAGGGGGAAAGGUUGGAAAGAAUUUUUGAUCUGUUUCAAUAAAACACCAAACAUAGCGUUGAAGGAAAAGCCA
rnacentral:lncRNA from 1 species